UGAUCAGAAUGCACCUUGCAUCCCUCCAGGCAAAAAGUGAUAUAGAAUCUCAGAUUGUAUCUGCCAUCUGCCUCAUCCUAAACCAGAAAAAUGAAAAGAGGUUUCAGGAACAAAUAUACUGUCUCCCCCCCGAUAUUGUGAGCAUGGCACUUUCGGAUCACCC